rnacentral:other from 1 species
GGUUCUCUGCGGUGUGCGAGGCGGGCCGAUAGUCCCGAUCCAACACAUCAUGCCCGGGAGCCCACCUCCGACCGUGUACGGGGUCUGCGCGUGAUCCGCGGGCGGACGAAGCGGUCGGGAGGCACCCACCUACGAGAGUAGGGUUCGGGGGCUAUGGCCUGCACGGCACUGCGGAGAACGA